AUUGAACGCUGGCGGCAUGCUUUACACAUGCAAGUCGAGCGGCAGCGCGGGGGCAACCCUGGCGGCGAGCGGCGAACGGGUGAGUAAUACAUCGGAACGUACCCAGGAGUGGGGGAUAGCUCGGCGAAAGCCGGAUUAAUACCGCAUACGAUCUACGGAUGAAAGCAGGGGACCGCAAGGCCUUGCGCUCGUGGAGCGGCCGAUGUCCGAUUAGCUAGUUGGUGGGGAAAGGCCUACCAAGGCGACGAUCGGUAGCUGGUCUGAGAGGAUGAUCAGCCACACUGGGACUGAGACACGGCCCAGACUCCUACGGGAGGCAGCAGUGGGGAAUUUUGGACAAUGGGGGCAACCCUGAUCCAGCCAUGCCGCGUGAGUGAAGAAGGCU
rnacentral:rRNA from 1 species